GCGCUGCUCUGCUGCUGGUCCGAGGGAGGGGAGGCGAUCGCUGGAGCCUGGCAGACCCCAAACGGUGCAGCUCAGCUGCUUUUGCUGUUGCCAUUUGUUGACGAGGGCGAAAUCUCCUAGUUGUGGACAAGGUUUUUUCUCCACAUUCACGAAGAGCAGGUCCAAGGAGAAGGUUGUGGGUUAAAUUUUCCUGGAAACCAUCAAGUAUAGCAGUGAUCCUUCUACGUGCAUCCGUGCGAGGACCAGGAAUGGGGAAUGCUCGUAGCUACCGCUUUGCACCAGCUAAACCAGCCCAGGGGACUGGGACUGUGGCAGGUGAGGAAGGGCUCCACGAAAGUCCUUCACCAGCGCUGUGAAAACCAGCUGCACCAGGAAGGCGACACAAACAAAUCUACCGUUGAGCCUGACAGAAAUGUGCCCUCGAGAAAAAAGAAUGAAGAACACACAAAAUGCUGAGUUCAUGCUCCCAAAUGAACAGGAACCCAGCCCCAGAAGGGAGAAAGUCAAGGAUUAAAGCACAACGUUUAGUGAAAGCUCCUUACAUUAGGAGACAUCGGUGCACGUGUUUCCUCUGGAGCUUGAUUUCCAGUGGGGCCCCAGUCCGUCCAUGGGGGAAGGAGGCCAGGUUUGCAGACGUGGCACGUGGCGCGCCGUGCUGCGGAGGUUCCUCAGAGCUGAGAAGCACCAAGAGCCUCCCAGCGAGGGGAAGGUGAAGAAGCUGCAACGCUUCCCUCAGAGAAAAGCACUGGCUCCUUCCAAUAUCAGGUCCUUUUUUUGUCCUGCUCCUGCCUGAGUGUGGGUCACGUACAUCCCAGCGCGCUCACUGAUAACCUUGAUGUUGCCUUCAAGCACUGCCCAAAGCUAAACAGGGAAGAUGAGAGGAUAGACAAGGGCACCCGGCAUCCCAAACCACAGUCUUCAUGCACCCUAAAUUUCUCUAUGCCACAAAUGGAGGGUAAAAUCUUAGGCUAAACGAAGCAGGGACCACUGCGGCAGGGUGUUUACAACCAAGAGGAUGCUCCACGUUACCAUUGCGCUCGCUGUUACGACAGCUUUGUGAUUCAUUAUAUUUUACAAAUAAUCAUGGCGAGUUGCCCGACUUUGAACUUCAGUUGGGUGGUGUCCUGCAUUUCAGCAGAAGCCUUGCAUUUAGCGGUGUCCAACUAAAACAUGUAAUGUGGUCAGAAAUGUGUUUUCCCUUGUUUUAAGAGGAGCAGCGAAAGGAAACUUGGAGGAGGUUCUGGUCCUUUUUUUCCCCCUGCUAUUGGAUGACUUAAAAAAUGAAAGAGAAUCUGUUUCUCUGUGAAUGUAUCCCUUUGGACUAUUUUUGAAGCACAUUAUUUAGAGCUGCACACACAGAAUGAUUUUUUUUUUUAAUUUGGCUGCCAAACCAGAAAAAUUAGGAAAAAGCUCAUUUCAGAUUGACUGAUCUUUUUUGUGUGACUAUAAAUUAAAAAUUCUGUUUCAUUUUCAUAUUUGGAUUGCUAUUUUCUUAGCUUUUAGAAAAGAGUCAGAGUUGUUUUUUCAGGCAAAAAUGCCAUCUCCAAAUUAAACAGGGGAAAAUUUCAUUAAAAAACAAAUAAGACACAUUACAGUCCUUUCAUUCUCCCUGGUUUGCAGGUGAAACGAUCUGGAAGUUUCUUGACUAAUUUCUCAUCUCAAAAGAACAUUUUAGCAAUUUCUCUGUUCAAUGGAAAAUCCUGUGAAUUUCCAUUACUUUUUAAUAUAAGGAGAUCCUUGGGGUAUGACUUCCCAAGUAACUGCACUAUUUUAGAAUGAAUAAAAUGAUGCAGAGCAACGUUUCAGUGUUACCUUAAUUAGCGAUGUCCAAAUAUUGAAAUCCCCUAACAUUUGUGCCUGGGUAG